rnacentral:rRNA from 1 species
GCCUGUUUUACAAAAACAUAGCCUAUAACUUAACUUUAGGUACAACCCUGCCCUCUGAAAUUUUAACAGCCGCGGUAUCCUAACCGUGCUAAGGUAGCAUAAUCAUUUGCCUAUUAAUUAUAGGCUAGCAUGAACGGGAUCACUCACUUAAAUUUAUUUUCACUACAAUUAAAAUUAAACUUUAAGUUAAAAUACUAAAUUUUUAAGAAAGACAAAAAGACCCUGAAAACUAUUAGAAGAUAAUUAGUUGGGGCAACUAUAGACCAUAAACAGCGUCUAUUAAAAUUCGAAUUUUAAAAUUCAAAGCACACAGUUACUUCAGGGAUAACAGACUAAUUGUAUUAUUUAGACCUAAUAAAUAAUAAAGAUUGGCACCUCGAUGUUGGCUUAUAAUUCCUUCAUAUAGUAACAUAUAUUGAUGGCAGCUUGUUCAUCUGAUAAAUAUUUACAUGAGCUGAGUUCAGACCGGCGUAAGC